GACGAACGCUGGCGGCGUGCUUAACACAUGCAAGUCGAACGGAAAGGCCCUGCUUUUGUGGGGUGCUCGAGUGGCGAACGGGUGAGUAACACGUGAGUAACCUGCCCUUGACUUUGGGAUAACUUCAGGAAACUGGGGCUAAUACCGGAUAGGAGCUCCUGCUGCAUGGUGGGGGUUGGAAAGUUUCGGCGGUUGGGGAUGGACUCGCGGCUUAUCAGCUUGUUGGUGGGGUAGUGGCUUACCAAGGCUUUGACGGGUAGCCGGCCUGAGAGGGUGACCGGCCACAUUGGGACUGAGAUACGGCCCAGACGCCUACGGGAGGCAGCAGUGGGGAAUAUUGCACAAUGGGCGGAAGCCUGAUGCAGCAACGCCGCGUGCGGGAUGACGGCCUUCGGGUGGUAAACCGCUUUCGCCUGUGACGAAGCGUGAGUGACGGUAAUGGGUAAAGAAGCACCGGCUAACUACGU
rnacentral:rRNA from 1 species